rnacentral:rRNA from 1 species
AAAAAAGGUAAGCUACUAAGAGCGAAUGGUGGAUGCCUUGACUGGUAAAGGCGAUGAAGGACGUACUAGACUGCGAUAAGCUACGGGGAGCUGUCAAGAAGCUUUGAUCCGUAGAUUUCCGAAUGGGGCAACCCAAUGUAUAGAGAUAUACAUUACCUAUAUAGGAGCGAACGAGGGGAAUUGAAACAUCUUAGUACCCUCAGGAAAAGAAAUCAAUAGAGAUUGCGUCAGUAGCGGCGAGCGAAAGCGCAAGAGGGCAAACCCAGUGCUUGCACUGGGGGUUGUAGGACUGCAAUGUGCAAGAGGUAAGUUUAGCAGAACAUUCUGGAAAGUAUAACCAUAGAGGGUGAUAGUCCCGUAUGCGAAAAACAAACCUUAGCUAGCAGUAUCCUGAGUAGGGCGGGACACGAGGAAUCCUGUCUGAAUCCGGGUCGACCACGAUCCAACCCUAAAUACUAAUACCAGAUCGAUAGUGCACAAGUACCGUGAGGGAAAGGUGAAAAGAACUGAGGUGAUCAGAGUGAAAUAGAACCUGAAACCAUUUGCUUACAAUCAUUCAGAGCCCUAUGUAGCAAUACAGGGUGAUGGACUGCCUUUUGCAUAAUGAGCCUGCGAGUUGUGGUGUCUGGCAAGGUUAAGCAAACGCGAAGCCGUAGCGAAAGCGAGUCUGAAUAGGGCGCUUAGUCAGAUGCUGCAGACCCGAAACGAAGUGAUCUAUCCAUGAGCAAGUUGAAGCUAGUGUAAGAACUAGUGGAGGACUGAACCCAUAGGCGUUGAAAAGCCCUGGGAUGACUUGUGGAUAGGGGUGAAAGGCCAAUCAAACUUCGUGAUAGCUGGUUCUCUCCGAAAUAUAUUUAGGUAUAGCGUUGUGUCGUAAUAUAAGGGGGUAGAGCACUGAAUGGGCUAGGGCAUACACCAAUGUACCAAACCCUAUCAAACUCCGAAUACCUUAUAUGUAAUCACAGCAGUCAGGCGGCGAGUGAUAAAAUCCGUCGUCAAGAGGGAAACAACCCAGACUACCAGCUAAGGUCCCUAAAUCUUACUUAAGUGGAAAACGAUGUGAAGUUACUUAAACAACCAGGAGGUUGGCUUAGAAGCAGCCAUCCUUUAAAGAAAGCGUAAUAGCUCACUGGUCUAGUGAUUUUGCGCGGAAAAUAUAACGGGGCUAAAGU